ensembl:snRNA U6 U6 spliceosomal RNA
GUGCUAGUUUCAGCAGCACAUAUACUAAAUUGAAAUGACCCUACAGAAGAUCAGUGUGGCUACUAUAUAAGGAAGAAACACAAAUUCAUGAAAGAUUUCAUAUCUUU